CGCUGGCGGCGUGCCUAAUACAUGCAAGUCGAACGGUCUUUCUAUGGAAGCUUGCUUCCACUGAGAAGGUAGUGGCGAACGGGUGAGUAACACGUGGGUAACCUGCCCAUAAGAGGGGGGAUAACAUCCGGAAACGGGUGCUAAUACCGCAUAGUUUUCCUGAUCGCAUGAUCGGGAAAGGAAAGACGGCCUUUGUGCUGUCGCUUAUGGAUGGACCCGCGGCGUAUUAGUUAGUUGGUGAGGUAACGGCUCACCAAGACGAUGAUACGUAGCCGACCUGAGAGGGUGAUCGGCCACAUUGGGACUGAGACACGGCCCAAACUCCUACGGGAGGCAGCAGUAGGGAAUCUUCCGCAAUGGACGAAAGUCUGACGGAGCAACGCCGCGUGAGUGAAAGAAGGUUUUCGGAUCGUAAAACUCUGUUGUCAGAGAAGAACAAGUUGGAGAGUAACUGCUCCAGCCUUGACGGUAUCUGACCAGAAAGCCACGGCUAACUACGUGCCAGCCGCGGC
rnacentral:rRNA from 1 species